rnacentral:tRNA from 1 species
GGCGGCGUAGCUCAGGUGGUCAGAGCGGCGGAUUCAUAACCCGCAGGUCACAGGUUCGAGUCCUGUCGCCGCUA